AACGAACGCUGGCGGCGUGCCUAACACAUGCAAGUCGAGCGAGAAAGUCCCGACAACGGGAUGAGUAAAGCGGCGAACGGGUGAGUAACGCGUGGGCAAUCUGUCCUUCAGCCCAGGAUAACCCGCCGAAAGGUGGGCUACUACCGGAUGACGUUUCCGUGGGGAAUCCCGUGGAAUCCAAAGGGGGCGAGCAUUAGCAGCUCCCACUGGAGGAGGAGCCUGCGUCCGAUUAGCUAGUUGGUGGGGUAACGGCCUACCAAGGCGACGAUCGGUAGCCGGCCUGAGAGGGCGACCGGCCACACUGGAACUGAGACACGGUCCAGACUCCUACGGGAGGCAGCAGUGGGGAAUAUUGCGCAAUGGGCGAAAGCCUGACGCAGCGACGCCGCGUGGGCGAUGAAGGCCUUCGGGUCGUAAAGCCCUGUCGGGUGGAACGAAUCUCCCUGUGGCAAAUACCCACGGGGAUUGACGGUACCACCGAAGGAAGCUCCGGCUAACUACGUGCCAGCCGCCGCGGUAACAC
rnacentral:rRNA from 1 species